GCGACCCCAGGUCAGGCGGGACUACCCGCUGAAUUUAAGCAUAUAAAUAAGCGGAGGAGAAGAAACUUACAAGGAUUCCCCUAGUAACGGCGAGCGAACCGG
rnacentral:rRNA from 1 species